AACACACCACGUUUAUUUACUGUAGAUACACUUUUAUCACUCAAUAUAACAAAAUGCCAUAGUUUAAAUUAAAACUUAGGAAAACAACGCAUAAAUUCAGUUAAAUAAUGUAUUAAUAAUUAUUACUUAGGAACUAAAUACAAUUAAAGUAUGAAUGACAAAGCUAGCAGUCAGCCAAAAAAUUUCGCCCGCACGGCCUAUAUCAAAACAUUGUCGAAGGUAAAAAGAUACCAAAAAGGGUCUAAUAAUUGCAGUAAAUCGGGCAACUGGAGUUACGAAAUAGACAUUCCUAACAUCGUAGCAUCCAUCGGAGCUCUGGUCGUAACUAUAGUUAUUUUUCGUUCCCUAUACUUGUUGUAUACGAAGCCAGAAGGAACCUAAUCAGAAUGACCAUAAAAUAAUAAACACAGAUGUUUUUUAAAAAAGAAACUAAAAUGGCUCGACUGAAAAGAGCUAUUUAUAUGAAAACACAUAAUGGCGCGAAGAAUGUAUACCUGGCGCAGUUGGCGAAUCUCGUAGGGGGAACGUGUUUUCUCUUUAUCGUAAUGAUUAUCCUAAGACUUCUAUAUUUAAAAUAUGUAAAGACCCAACCAGAUAGUGAAUGUUAAAGUUAACAAUAAAGCUUAUCACAAAUGUCCCAUAGA